rnacentral:tRNA from 1 species
GUUGGUGUAGCUCAGUGGUAGAGUGCAUGCUUUGUGUGUAUGAUGUUCUGGGUUCAAAUCCCAGCUGUUCCC